rnacentral:rRNA from 1 species
CCAGACUCCUACGGGAGGCAGCAGUGGGGAAUAUUGCACAAUGGGCGGAAGCCUGAUGCAGCAACGCCGCGUGCGGGAUGACGGCCUUCGGGUUGUAAACCGCUUUCGCCUGUGACGAAGCGUGAGUGACGGUAAUGGGUAAAGAAGCACCGGCUAACUACGUGCCAGCAGCCGCGGUGAUACGUAGGGUGCGAGCGUUGUCCGGAUUUAUUGGGCGUAAAGGGCUCGUAGGUGGUUGAUCGCGUCGGAAGUGUAAUCUUGGGGCUUAACCCUGAGCGUGCUUUCGAUACGGGUUGACUUGAGGAAGGUAGGGGAGAAUGGAAUUCCUGGUGGAGCGGUGGAAUGCGCAGAUAUCAGGAGGAACACCAGUGGCGAAGGCGGUUCUCUGGGCCUUUCCUGACGCUGAGGAGCGAAAGCGUGGGGAGCGAACAGGCUUAGAUACCCUGGUAGUCCACGCUGUAAACGGUGGGUACUAGGUGUGGGGUCCAUUCCACGGGUUCCGUGCCGUAGCUAACGCUUUAAGUACCCCGCCUGGGGAGUACGGCCGCAAGGCUAAAACUCAAAGGAAUUGACGGGGGCCCGCACAAG